rnacentral:rRNA from 1 species
UACCAGCACCCCGAGUGGUCGGGACGAUUAUUGGGCCUAAAGCAUCCGUAGCCGGUUCUACAAGUCUUCCGUUAAAUCCACCUGCUUAACAGAUGGGCUGCGGAGGAUACUAUAGAGCUAGGAGGCGGGAGAGGCAAGCGGUACUUAGUGGGUAGGGGUAAAAUCCGUUGAUCCAUUGAAGACCACCAGUGGCGAAGGCGGCUUGCCAGAACGCACUCGACGGUGAGGGAUGAAAGCUGGGGGAGCA